rnacentral:rRNA from 1 species
CAGCAGCCGCGGGAAUACGGAGGGCGCGAGCGUUACCCGGAUUUACUGGGCGUAAAGGGCGUGUAGGCGGCCUGGGGCGUCCCAUGUGAAAGGCCACGGCUCAACCGUGGAGGAGCGUGGGAUACGCUCAGGCUAGAGGGUGGGAGAGGGUGGUGGAAUUCCCGGAGUAGCGGUGAAAUGCGCAGAUACCGGGAGGAACGCCAAUGGCGAAGGCAGCCACCUGGUCCACUUCUGACGCUGAGGCGCGAAAGCGUGGGGAGCAAACCGGAUUAGAUACCCCUGUAGUCCCUGUCUCUUAUAC